AUUGAACGCUGGCGGCAGGCCUAACACAUGCAAGUCGAGCGAGCGGCGGACGGGUGAGUCAUGUAUGGGGAUCUGCCCUAUAGAGGGGGAUAACUACUGGAAACGGUGGCUAAUACCGCAUACUAUUCGAUGAAACCAUGUGGGAUUAGCUAGUGGGUGGGGUAAAGGCUUACCUAGGCGACGAUCCCUAGCUGGUCUGCGAGGAUGAUCAGCCACACGGGGACUGAGACACGGUCCAGACUCCUACGGGAGGCAGCAGUGGGGAAUAUUGCACAAUGGGCGAAAGCCUGAUGCAGCCAUGCCGCGUGAAUGAAGAAGGCCUUAGGGUUGUAAAGUACUGUCAGCGGGGAGGCGUUACCCGAAGAAGAAGCACCGGCUAACUCCGUGCCAGCAGCCGCGGUAAUAC
rnacentral:rRNA from 1 species